CAAGUCGAGCGAGCUUGCCUAGAUGAUUUUAGUGCUUGCACUAAAUGAAACUAGAUACAAGCGAGCGGCGGACGGGUGAGUAACACGUGGGUAACCUGCCCAAGAGACUGGGAUAACACCUGGAAACAGAUGCUAAUACCGGAUAACAACACUAGACGCAUGUCUAGAGUUUGAAAGAUGGUUCUGCUAUCACUCUUGGAUGGACCUGCGGUGCAUUAGCUAGUUGGUAAGGUAACGGCUUACCAAGGCAAUGAUGCAUAGCCGAGUUGAGAGACUGAUCGGCCACAUUGGGACUGAGACACGGCCCAAACUCCUACGGGAGGCAGCAGUAGGGAAUCUUCCACAAUGGACGAAAGUCUGAUGGAGCAACGCCGCGUGAGUGAAGAAGGGUUUCGGCUCGUAAAGCUCUGUUGGUAGUGAAGAAAGAUAGAGGUAGUAACUGGCCUUUAUUUGACGGUAAUCAACCAGAAAGUCACGGCUAACUACGUGCC
rnacentral:rRNA from 1 species